GAUCAUGGCUCAGGAUGAACGCUGGCGGCGUGCUUAACACAUGCAAGUCGAACGAAGCGCUUAAAUGGAUUUCUUCGGAUUGAAGUUUUUGUGACUGAGUGGCGGACGGGUGAGUAACGCGUGGGUAACCGUGCCUCGUACAGGGGGAUAACAGUUAGAAAUGACUGCUAAUACCGCAUAAGCGCACAGUGCUGCAUGGCACAGUGUGAAAAACUCCGGUGGU
rnacentral:rRNA from 1 species